AAUGAACGCUGGCGGCGCGCCUAAUACAUGCAAGUCGAGCGAGAAGACGUAGCAAUACGUUUGUAAAGCGGCGAACGGGUGAGGAAUACAUGGGUAACCUACCCUCGAGUGGGGAAUAACUAGCCGAAAGGUUAGCUAAUACCGCGUACGCUUCUUGGACUUCGGUUCAGGGAGGAAAGCGAUACCGUGGGUAUCGCGCUCUUGGAUGGGCUCAUGUCCUAUCAGCUUGUUGGGAGGUAACGGCUCACCAAGGCUUCGACGGGUAGCUGGUCUGAGAGGACGAUCAGCCACACUGGCACUGCGACACGGGCCAGACUCCUACGGGAGGCAGCAGUAAGGAUAUUGCGCAAUGGGCGAAAGCCUGACGCAGCGACGCCGCGUGGGGGAUGAAGGUCUUCGGAUUGUAAACCCCUUUCGGG
rnacentral:rRNA from 1 species